UUUCUCCCAAAUUUCUAGCCGAUCUUCAGCUUUUACCCUACCCCUUCCCUGCCGCUGCCGGAUUUCUGGCAGCUUUCAAAUCAUAUUUGAACGCAUGGCCGCGAAACGGAUUGUAAUUAUGAGCAUUAACAAAAGAAAGAGACGAGCGGAGUGGUGUGGAGAUGGGAGGAAAGCAGUAAUGAAUAACGAGCAGCAAAAGAAAGAGCGAAAGAGAAGCAGCUGCCUGCUAUGGUUCAACGAAAGAACUAGUUCGCUGAUGGGACGAGAUAGACAAGGAUAUAAGACAUUGUUGCUCUAUAUAUAAUUUCCGCGAAAAUGUUCGACUACGUUACAGUUCGAGUUACGGUAAGUUCACCGUUUAAUUGAACAUAUAUAUAGCGGUUAACAAUCUUAAUGUUUAACAGUAAGUGGCUAGUGGCAACAGAACUGGUAGUAGAAACUGUUGUUGCCAAACCGAUUUCUGGGAAAAUGUUCGUUUACAGGUGGAGUUAUGGUGAAAACUCAGUGGUUCCACAAUACGUACAUCUAUUAUUUAUGAGCGCCAAAAACCAGUAAAUUCCAUUGCCCUA